UCUUUGUAAAAUAUAUAUCUUUGGACUAAAAAAAGUUUGAAUAAAAUAUUUAAUUAAAAAAAUUUUGUUUUUUGCUCGAGAAAAAAAUUCUAAAAAAUUGUGGAUUUACUUGAUCCCGUAGCUGAUCCUCCUGCAGGACCUCCAAAAAAAGAUUCCACUACUGUUCUGCUAAAAGCUGAGAUUUGCCGCCUUUUGAGUACUGGUAUGAACGAGGGCUUUGAAACAAAUAGUUUGGAUUAUUAACUUUGGAAUACAAAACAUUUUAAUUUUUAAAAGAAAUUAUUACAAGAACAACCCUUUACAUUUAUAUAGAAA